rnacentral:lncRNA from 1 species
CUCGGGGAAGGCGACAGGCUGGAAACGCAGCUCCUCGACUUUGCAGCGCACCAACCCCCUAUCGCCCCGUCCGCUGCUCAGGUGCGAGGAUUCGCCAGACGCCACAGGACUGGGGGCGACUCGCAAGGGCAUCAUGCCACCUAGAGGAAACGCGCAACAGCAUUUAGGCCAAUAAGGUCUUUGAAAGGAGGCAGCCCCAAAGCCCUCAGGCCGACACCUGAGGGCAGGGUCUCAAACAGCUGUGCUUGAAGAACCGGCAAUCUUGCUUUUCC